rnacentral:rRNA from 1 species
GGCCUACGGGGGGCAGCAGUGGGGAAUAUUGCACAAUGGGGGAAACCCUGAUGCAGCGACGCCGCGUGAGUGAAGAAGUAUCUCGGUACGUAAAGCUCUAUCAGCAGGGAAGAAAAAAAGUCUUUGGCUUUGGACGGUACCUGACUAAGAAGCCCCGGCUAACUACGUGCCAGCAGCCGCGGUAAUACGUAGGGGGCAAGCGUUAUCCGGCUUUACUGGGUGUAAAGGGAGCGUAGACGGCUUGGCAAGCUAGAUGGGAAAGGCUGGGGCUCAACCCCAGAACUGCAU